CAACUCAUAUCCUUAUCCCCUUCGGUCUGUUCGGCACUAAACCCUCCACAGUCCACAUCCUCCCUCUCCUCCUCAUACAUGUUCAUGUUCCUCUCCCUCUCCUCCCCGUUCCCCCUCUCGCCCUCCCUUUCUCUUCCUAGGCCCCGUAUCCACCCACCUCUCCGCCAUCACCUCUCACCUUUUCUCCGCCAUAUAACCACAACCAAUCUCACCCCUUUUGCCGUCGGACGCGAUGGCAAAUACUAUCCAAACCCAGCCGACGCUG
rnacentral:lncRNA from 1 species